UAAUAUUCAUGUUUUGACCAGUUUGAAUUAAAAAUAUAAAAAGGAACAAAAACUUUUGCAUAUUAUUUUACUCGAAGAUUGGCUGGAUUUAUUUGAGCGUGUACGUUUUGUUUAUGAUUAGUGAAAUGAAAAAAUGAAACUGAUGUUGUGGUGCAGGAAGUGUCCCUUCAUAACGGGUUCUAGAAGUGGGCAAGCGGCGGAUCAUAGGCUGCUGUAUCGUGGAGGAAGUUUAUGGUAAGACCACGUAAGACAGAAUAUCGUUCGGCAGCUAUUAUUGGCUUAUCUUACCAAUUAGAAACAAUAAUAGCUGAUACAGGUUCACACAUAACCUGAUGUGUUAGAGACAACGACCAACUUCGAUUCACCCACUCAAAAAAACAAGU